GAUGAAGAACGCAGCGAACGUGCGAAACGUAAUGUGAAUUGCAGAAUUCAGUGAAUCAUCGAAUCUUUGAACGCAUCUUGCGCUCCUUGGUAUUCCGAGGAGCAUGCCUGUUUGAGUGUCGUGAAUACUCUCAACUUCAACCCUUUUUUCGGAAAGGGAGGAAGGUUGGACUUGGGUGUUUGUUGAAGUGCGAGCUUCGACUCAUCCUAAAUGCAUUAGCGAUCUGCCUCGAUCACACACAAUGUGAUAAUUAAAACUAAAGCAUUGUUUAAUGAUCAAGUCGAGACUGCUUCUAACUGUCGCAAGACAAUAACGUGCAUACAUUUGUGCAUGUCAUUUGACCUCAAAUCAGGUAGGACUACCCGCUGAACUUAAGCAUAUCAAGAAGCGGAGGA
rnacentral:misc_RNA from 1 species